UCCGGCCGUGUCGGUGUGUUUAGUUUUCCCGUGAGAAGAGCUGGGAGUGGGCAUGGACACCGUCGCCUCCCUGUCGCCUCUGCGCCACGGCCACCCAUCUUCUUCGUCGCCGGCGUCAUGCAAUACCAGUCGCCCUAGUCCGUGGCUGCUCAAGCUCAAGCAGAGGAGCUUGAUCAGUAGCAGUAACUCACUACCAGCCCGGCCAAGGGCAUGGCCGCCUCGUGCUUCUGCUUCCGCUUCUAGUGCCGCGACGCCGCCGCCGCCGCAGCAGCAGCAGAAAGAGAAAGACCUCGUCUUCGUGGCCGGCGCCACCGGAAGAGUUGGCUCCCGAGCCGUAAGGGAGCUCAUCAAGCUUGGCUUCCGUGUCCGCGCUGCCGUCAGGAACGCGGAGAGGGCGUCGUCCCUGGUGCAGGUACCUUACUUAGCUUGCUUGUGCAUCAAUUAUUUAUUUUAUUUACUCAAUACAAUGGAGAGGAUGAUCAAUAUGAAUAAUGAAGGAAUGAAUCUGCAUUGAUUUCCAGAGCGUCCAGCAGCUGAAACUAGACGGCAACGCAGCAGCUGCGAUUUCGCGUGAGAUGAUCAACGCAGACAACGAUGCGAUCUCGAUCAGUGUCAUCUAUCUAAUAUAUCGAGCUGAUGAUAGUGAUCUUAUUAAUCGAUAUGCAGCCUCGGAGAAGCUUGAGAUCGUGGAGUGUGAUCUGGAGAAGCAGCCGCAGGACGGCAUCGUUGAGGCCAUCGGCAAUGCUUCACUGGUGGUGUGCUCCAUUGGUGCCAGCGAGAAGGAGAUCUUGGAUGUCACGGGGCCGUACCGCAUCGACUACAUGGCCACCACCAAGCUUGUACAAGCAGCCACUGCUGCACAGGUCGAGCACUUCGUCCUGGUUACAUCCCUGGGCACCAACAGGAUCGGCUUCCCUGCGUUCCUCCUCAAGUAAUCGAUCGAUCCCAUCUCACUUGGAAUUAAUUAAUAUAAGCAACAACGGCCUACUAGCUGCUUGAUACUAAUUCGUGGCUUAAUCGAUUUUCUUGGCAAAUAUAACUAAUAAUUAAUGAACAAGCAGCUUGUUCUGGGGCGUUCUGCUCUGGAAGAGACGAGCUGAAGAAGCACUCAUCGCCAGUGGCAUCCCAUACACGGUAUAGGCAGGCACUCCCUCCUGCUCUAAUUAAUUCCUACCUUACCUUAGCUUGUACGUGUCGUUGUCGAUUUGCCAAUAAUAUAAUGCUGCCAAUUAUUUUUCUUUUAUAUUUGACUUUGAAAAAAAUCUAAACAUAGCUAUAUUCUGGGACGGACGGAGCAUGAAAUUUAUAUUACAUUACACGGUGUAAGGAAUGCUGCCAAUUAAUAAUGGUGUAAGUAGAUCAUAAGGCCCGGAGGAAUGGAGAGGCCGACAGACACUUUUAAGGAGACACACAACCUGGUGGUGGCAAUGGAGGACACCUACGUGGGUGGCCUCGUCUCCAACCUCCAGGUGGCGGAGCUCAUCGGAUGCAUGGCCAACAAUAGGAGGGCGGCCUACUGCAAGGUGGUGGAGGUGAUCGCCGAGACAACCGCGCCGCUGCUGCCAAUGGAGCAGCUCCUCGCCGCCAUCCCUUCCAAGAGGGUAUGUAAUACUCCCUAUAUUCUCUUUUGACGUAGGGAUAUUUCACCUUGACACAAUGAUAAGAAACACAACCAAGCUUAUCAUUUAAUAAAUGUAAAUAAGCCUUUUCUCAUUAGUCCUCCAAUGCUUUCCCUUAAUGACUUCUCGUUAUCUAUGUAAUUUAUUGCCGCGAUCCACAUCAAUGACAAAACCCUAUAAAAAAUAUCCCUCUAAAAAAGAAAAGACUAUUAAGGACGUUUUUUUAUCAGAAGCAUGUGAAUAAAUCAAACCAAACCUAACGAAACCACUCGCAGGAACCCCCCGCCGAGGACGAAACGGAGAAGGUGAAGUCAAUAGCCAAUGGGUGAGCCAAAGCCAGACCCUCCAGCAGAGAGCCGGCGAAAGCAGAGCGACCACUCUCACCGU
rnacentral:lncRNA from 1 species